rnacentral:tRNA from 1 species
AUUUGAAUAGUUUAAAAAAAACUUUAUAUUUUCAUUAUAAAAUUAGAAUACUUUCUUUCAAAUA